UUAUUCCAUGUGAGUUGCUAUUUUAUAAGCAAACCUAUUUUGUCUAGUUCUUCUACAAUGUUGCUACAUAUAUAGCUACUGUUACAACUUGGCUUAAAGUGCUGAAGUGGAAAUUGGAAGGGGAAAAAGGAGAACACAAAAGCAGCCAAAAUCGAUUCCCUGGUGAAGACCGUAUUGGAAACCUAAUCCCUAAUUUUUACUCCAUCCAUUGCGGCUGCUACCAAGAUAAAGCUCUCCUACUCUCCAAAAUUCCAGGCGACAUCGAUCGUUCGGCUGCAAAAAAUGUCGGUGCUCGGGUCUUCUUCCAGUUGCAGGAAUUUUUUUGGUGACCACCGAAAUACAUCUGGCCGCCGCAUAACCAUUACGAUCGUCACUCCACCCUGUCAGAUGGCAACCCAUCAACAACUUCCUCAUUCGUCUUGGGUAACUAAGAAGAAGGACUAAUAGUGAAGGGAAGUACAGUUUUCCAAUCUGCCCACCAGAUGUUUGAUGAAAUGCUCAAAUGGCGAUGUGAUGAAUAUAGUGUAAGGACACCAGUAGUUGAACAAUUUCGUGUAACUUCAACUAGAAAAUAUGAGAUAUCCACACAAAGUAAGAUCAAGGUUGAGUGUGGUCAGUUUUCUUCAAGUCUUAAUUGGUUUAAUAUUCUUAUCCAAGGUUUUGAACUUAAACUAGAACAAGUAGUUCUGGUUUUCAAGCAAGACUAGUUUGGAAUCCUUCCACUGAAAUAACUUGUACACAUUUUAAACCUUAAUAGAUGUCUAGAAAAUCUGAAGUGGACGUGUAUGGAAUAGAUGUGAACAUGUAGAAAAUCUAAUGUUGAUUAAGUUUUCCAUGGCAUGUGAACCUCUAACUGCUUAAAUUUAUUUGGUUAUGAUGGUAUGUUUAAUAUUUUAUCUAAAAAAUUAAAUUUGUGUUAUGUUGAUAUGAUUCUUUCAUGCUGUUGAACUAGAUUAGUUCGAUGGCAAACAAGAAUAGGGAAAUUUGUCAUUGUUGUAGACAAGCAGGACAUACGUUGCCGGAAUGCCCAAAAAAAAAAAAAAAACGAUGCCCAAACUAGGACGCAGGCUUCACCAAAUGGAUGGAGGUGGAAAAGUACAAUGAACAUUGUAGAAUUCCUGAUUUUUAGUCCUAAUUUCUAACAGAUCCUGCAGCUGUAAAUUAGUUUCCCAAUUAAGGGAUGUUAUUUUUAUCAACUCCAAUUCUUAGGCAUUUAGUCAACAGAGUAGUUAGGAAAUUAAAUCUUUCUUUGAUUUAAGGAAGUGGUUUAUUCCUUCUGUUUUUUCCUAUAAAUUGUACAUUGUUUUAUCAAUGAAAUAAGAAUAAAGAUUACAUAUU